GAAACAUUUUUUCCGAAAAAUGUCAUCUUAUGUCCUUAAAAUGUCCUCAAAACUCAUCUUGAAGAUCAUUUUAAGGACAUAAGAUGACAUUUUUCGGAAAAAUGUUU
rnacentral:pre_miRNA from 1 species